UUCGGGCGGACUGGCCUCCUGCAGGCUACCGCUGAACCCAGCCUUUGAAGGGAGACUGAGUCACAGCAGCCUCUGACAGCCCCUGCCGGCAAGAGCCCGGCUCAGAAGCCACUUGCUGGGCGGUGGGGGGCGGGCCAGGCUCCGGGGACUUUGAUCCUCAGCCUGGCUGGAGCAGAGCCAUGGAGGAAGUCAGCCGCCUGGAGUCCGCGGCAGCUGGGCAGGAGUGGCACCAACGCGAGUCUGGGCCUGCCUCGGGGGACUGCGGCCAGCCGCAGUGUGGCAGGGGACGGGAGGCCACCACCUUGCCUGCACCGCUUAGGCCUUCCAGAGAAGCAGCCAGGCCAGGACUCACUGUCCAAGGCUGACUGUCCAUCUUCAGGAAAAAGACCAAUGAGGGAGUCCAGAGUCACUACAGCUGUGCAAGCUAUGUGCUGACAACUCCAGGGGGCGGCACGCCCAUGGGACCAUGACAUUUUCAACAAAUGCCAGCUCAGCGCCUCGAUAAAGGAAUUUACACAAAGUCUCCAGUUCUUAGGAGCUGGAUAAGAUCGUGUUUUCUGGGACUAAAAAUCAGAAACCCCCAGGUCUGGGGACAGAGCUGUCUGGAGAGGAAGCUGACAACAACAGCCUUUCUGCUCAUUGCUGCCAGGGGGCACAGGGCUUGGCCCUAGCUGGGUGGUGGCCUGUCCUGGGGCAGGAACGUGUGUGCAGACUGGAGAGGGCUGAGAAGGCUCAGAGUCCUAGGAAAGGCGAAGACGUCGCUCCCAUCCCUUGCCUGCUUCCUGUCCACAAAUAUGUAGCUGAUGAAAGGGUGGGCUCCACUGUCUCCUCAGGAAGGACUCAGCCUCCACUGACACAGACACAGUGAACUUAGCUCUGCUUCCAGUGCCCAGGCCCAGGCCCGUGCAUCUCUGCUUCAUUAGAAGAGCAGACGAAGCCCACUCUGUCCUGCCGAUCUCUGCCAUCCUGAUAAAGUCCUUGCAGUCUGGUCCCAGUGCCUGGCCACAAGUUCCCAGAAGUCUCAUGUGCCAGAGGUCGGCAUGAAGGUUACAGGCGCCAUCCCUGAGGAGGAGGCCAGCUCUUCCUGAAGCAGAGGAAGCUCACAUGGUGACACUGGUCUUGACAACCAUGCCUAACUGUCAAGGGAGGGCACGCACUUGCAGCCUGGACAAAUGGCGCCUCGGCUUCUGAGACACGCUGUGACGCUCUGGUCCCUGGGAUCCUGCCCCUGUGACGCCGCCUGUGACCCCGCCUGGCCUCUGUCCACCUCCGCCCCUCUCCCUGGAGGGAGUUGCCUUGCCCACCAGGACCACCGGACCCUUCCUUUCCUGGGCUCCCACAGGACUUGCUGUCCCGUGCCGCCUGCCCGGGUGGGUAUUUCCCUGCAGGGACACCUUAUCUCUGGGUUGCCACCUUGUAGUGGAGGCGGAGGCAUCCAGACAGGUGGGGGACUGCUUUGCGGCUUCCUGAGGCCGCGCAUAACUCCAGCGCUUCAGGAGGCGCGGCGAUCCAACAGUCCUGGGUUCCCAAGGCCGCCCGGACCAGGGUCAACCUGAACACAUUUACUCUCCUUCUCACUCCCACCCCUCCCUGUCACGGAACCCUGCAGUGAUUCCUCUGGUUUAAUCAAACUAGAAAUACGAGUAGCAUCAAAAAUAUCCCAUCAGAUCGUAUGAUUGUUCCAGCCAAGCAGGUGCCGGUCCUGCCAGUGAGGCGCAGUUUAGAAGAGAGUCCCAGCAGCUCCUAAGACCUUGGUAUCAGUGGAGGCUGAGGAUUCUCCCUUGGGGAGCCCAGGGAAGGAACUGGGGACCCUGGGGCGCGUACCUGGCUGCUGGAACAUCAGCAUGUUCUGCGGAGACGUGUG